rnacentral:ribozyme from 1 species
UUCUUAUCUCUUUUGCUAUCUUCUUUCAUCUAGUGUGGUAGGAAGUGGAUGAAUGAAGAGUGGCGAAUGAAGCAUGACGAAUUGAAACGUCCACCUUUUUUCUUUCACUUUCUUUGUUUUCAUUGUUCUCCAUUGUGAAUUGAACAUGCGCAAAAAUAAUUAAAGAG